rnacentral:lncRNA from 1 species
AAAAUAAUAGUCUAAUUAUUAUUAUUAUUAUCAGCAUCAUCAUUGCCAGCCGGCUAAUCUUCAACUGGAAGUAGCAAGGCCCUCCUCAGCCUGCAUAUCUCGCGGAGCAUUCUUGAUCUAAAUCCUCCCAAUUUCCAUUGUAGAUCACGAAGUUGAUUUCGAAGUUCAUCCACGGCGUCUUGCAGAAAAGCAUCAUUCCAUCCUGGGUCAGCCAUAAUCUUAUUUUCUAGAGUGUAAUAUGAAAGACAAGAUGCAAUAAAUAAAUAGAGUGUGUAUUUGGAUGAACGAUUGAGUAAGGACAGACCUAUUUAAAGAGGAUUGAAUUUGAAUGAGAGGCAAAAAGGCGUGACUAUUCACCUCCAUACAUUAAUUAAAUUUUGGAUUAAAUUAAGAAAAUAAAUAUUGUGAUAUAAGUCAUGACUUUUUAGAUUAUUAUUAUUAAUUAGUCUUUCGAAGAACCAUUUUUAUUGAGUUGUGAAAACAAAUGUUAUAUCUGUUACAUCAGAUAACACAUCUGUGACAACAGAUAUAUUAUCUGUUGCAACAAAUAUAAAAUAUGUUGCAUCAGAUAACAUAUCUGUUGCAACAUAUAAUCUAACUGUUCACCUCCAUUUAUUAAUUACAUUUUUUAUUAAUGUGAAAAGUAAUGAAUUAAUUAAAUUAAGAAAUAUUGUGAUAAGUCAUGACUUUUCAGAUUAUUAUUAUUAAUUAGUUCUUUCCAANNNNNNNNNNNNNNNNNNNNNNNNNNNNNNNNNNNNNNNNNNNNNNNNNNNNNNNNNNNNNNNNNNNNNNNNNNNNNNNNNNNNNNNNNNNNNUAUAUAAUAAAUAAUUUAAAAACAAAUUCAAAAAUAAAAAUGGUGAAAAGUCACGAUCAGUUAUUAAAAUUGUAGUUAUAAAUUGUGUUUAUUAUUUAUUUCCUUAUUAUUUAUUUACGAAAAAAAUUUCAUAUUGAAUAAUCGAAACUCCGAGUCAUGUCUUUCUCUUUUCACCCUCUCAAUAACAACAAUAGCCCUUUUUUUAUUAAUAACCGCCAGGUGCAACAUAUGAUCGAUCUGUCGUAGCAGAUUAACCUCUAACUGUUGACACAAAUUGCUGCUCAAUCCCUACCACCAACCGUCAACAUGGAACUCACAAAAAGGGAACUUGGUUCCUUAUUUUGAGUCAGGUAUGUACCAUCAUUUUCAAUGCAUGUAUUUCCUGAGUAUGUGUAAAACUUAAGCAUUGGUGAACCUGAUCCAUCCUUAAAAACCCAAUUCUUUAAAAAAAAAAAAAAAAAGUUCAAGGGUUUUGAAAUUAUCCUAGCUCCAAUUCAGGGGGAAACUAGUCCAUUUCCUUUAGUGUCAUCAUUAUUUUAGCCACUUCAUUAAUCUGAACUAGGUACCAUGAACCCUAAACCCUGAACCCUGAACCCUGAACCCCUCACCUUUCAAGUGUAACUAGCCAUUUCUUGGGGGAACAACUUUCUUAGGAACAAACUAAUAUCAGUUUCCUUAUUGUUGCAAAACCCAUCAUUGUUACACAAAAUUUGAUGAGUCCUUUAAUCAUAUCUAUUUUUUAUUAACCGGGGUUUGAAAGCCAUCAAGAAGAAGUCAUUUGAGAAAAAAAUAUCAAAAAGGAGUAAGAUCUUUGUGCAUAUGAACCAGGUUCUGGAAAAAAAAUAUAUAGGUCUCAUCAUUCAGUUGUUGUUUCAUAUACAUCUUGCAAAUGCACAAUCUACUUGAUGCAGAAAAUACUCAGCUAAAGGCCAAAAAAAAGAAGUGCAAAAUGGUAUGGAAAAGCAUUCCACCUCCUCUUUCUUAGCCUUCGUACCUCUUCCUCCAGUAUAUAUCCUCGAGUCUCUUGCCUCCAAUUUUUUUGUGGUGCUUAUGUUUUGUCUCAUACUCAUGAUAUGAUAUGCUUCUGAUUGGGGUCCUAAGGGAUUAAAUUGGUACAUGUCUACUCGAUUGUGUUUCAUCUUUCCAUAUCUUGAUUGUGUAUGUAAGCUGGUUAAUAUUCUCAGAUUGACUUACCUAAUUGUUACAAAGGGAGUGUGCUGAAAAGUAUUACUCAAGGGCCAUGAGUUAAAAUGAUAUUGCACUCAUUGUAUAUUUAUUGAGUUAUUUGGUUGUUGAUUUUUAAUGAUGCCAAAGGGGGGAAGUUAUAUGGUAUGGAGACAAGAAAUAUAUGAUGCAUUAUUUGUCAUCAUUAAAAAGGGGGAAAUUGUUGGAAAGUAGGAGAAUUUGUAGUUUUGAUGAUUGACAAAUAAGAACCUGGUUUACUACUUGUUGUCUUUGUAUGUUGUAUCAUAUGAACCAGGUUCGCAGAACCAAGUGAGGUCAAUUGAUAAAGCCAACGUGGGGGCAUCUUUGGGAGGUCAAACCACAAACAUGUGAUGGCAUUUAUGAGGCCUUAAAUGCCUUGUCCAGAUGCUGGUCAGAAAAGCUAGCAACAAGAUCUAAUUAGUUGGCAUUGCACAUGGAAAAUAAAGAAAAGUCUUGUGUGAAAUCUGAAAGGAAUCAAAUAGCCAACAGUAAAGAAAAAGUUCCAACUGGAACAGGUUGGCUUCCAUAAGAAAAAGUCUUUUGUGAUCUAAAGGGAAUUAAAGAGCAGCAGUAUAUAUGCAACAUUGCUGUCAAUUAUCAAAGACAACCUAUUGCACAUCCACAAAACAUAUAAUCUUGAGAGCAAUAGUCAUCAAAGCUAAAAAACUGCACGAAUUCAUCACAGCAAAACAGAAACCUGGUUCACAGUUUCUGUUCAAGUUUGCAGUAUUGAAAGUUGAAGUUUUGAGUAAUCUAAGGCUAGAGUUAGUAGUCUUGUUGAUAUCAUCAGUUGUAGUAAAUUGAUGAGUUUUGAGUCUUUAAUAGGAUAGAUUAUGAGUUGUGAUAUUUUCUAUUAUUGAACGUUGUGAGUCUAAGUAAUAAGAAGUGGGUUUGACUUCUUAUUCUUGGGGUGUUGUAACAAGAAGCGGGUUUAACUUCUUGUUUGUGAGGUGUUGUAACAAGAAGCGAGUUUGACUUCUUGGAGUGCUCAUAUAGUGGGUUGAACAGUUGUAGUAAACUGUUGAGUUGUGAGUUUAGAGUUAGGUUCUAGGAUUGCGGGGUUCUAAUCUUGAACAAAGCUUUUUGAAAUUAGUGGACAUUGGAGGUGAAAUCCUACACAGUGUAGGUCAUGAUUUUUUACUCCCUUGAGCAAGGAGUUUUCCACGGUAAAUUUGCAUUGCACUUUAUUUUACUGUUUGCAGUCUACUGAAAUAUCAGAAACUAGGUUCCUGAUACGUGUGGUGGGAUUAGUUAAUUUUCUACACAUAAUCUAGGGGAUUCUCAAUUAAUUUAAACAUGUUCAAAAGCAAGCUAAGAUUAUACCGCCUUGGCAUUUGAAAUUAAGAAAUUAUCCUUGAAGCUUAAAAGCUAGCUCAAAGAAUUUAAUAUUUUUUCCAACAUUAGUGGGGCGCCUAGGCUAUGCCGAGCCGUGGCCAGACCGCAGCGGGCAUCGUCCCUAACCAUCAAGGCCCCAGAGACCCUUGUAACAGCCCAACCUACUAGUGAUAUUGUCCGCUUUGGGCCCAGGCCCACACGACUUUAAAAUGCGCAACUAGAGAGUAAGGCUUGACACAGGAUCGACUCUGAUUCCAUUCUUGUCACUACCCGAGCCGGGGACUUGGCCGCGACGGGCAUCCCUAACCACCAAGGCCCGAGAAACCCCUGUAACAGCCCCACCCACUACUGAUAUUGUCUACUUUGGGCCCAAACCAGUAAGGCUUUAAAACGCAUCACAAGAAAGUAAUAUUCGCUUACUUAUAUACCCAGCAUCCCUCCUGUGUUUUGCCGUUAUGGGACUCCUUAUCCUAAGUUGGGGUGUUACACGUUUCCAGUAAGAUUUUUUCCAUACUCAGGGGUCGAACCCUAGACCUCUAAUCAAGGGUGCAAUAGUUCCAUCACUACGCCACAACCCAGGUUGAUUCUUUGGAAAACUUAAUUAUUGCAUUGUUCAUUUGUUGUAUUUCCUGGAAUAUUGUUGUAUGCUUAUUAAAGGUUAGACAGUUUUAAUAGUAAUUAAUCAUAUUGGAUUAAUUAUAAUUAGCACUAAAAACUACAAUUAAAAAACUUACACUCAAGCACUGCUAGUGAAGACUCAACCAGUUCCCUUGCAAUAACCUCUGAUGAUAUAAUUAGAAGAACCAAAGAAAAAAUAAUUAAAACAUUUGCCUUGAGUGCCAUUUUGGAUUCAAUAAUAA